ACUCCUACGGGAGGCAGCAGUGGGGAAUAUUGCACAAUGGGCGCAAGCCUGAUGCAGCCAUGCCGCGUGUGUGAAGAAGGCCUUGGGUUGUAAAGCACUUUCAGUCGUGAGGAAGGUAGUGUAGUUAAUAGCUGCAUUAUUUGACGUUAGCGACAGAAGAAGCACCGGCUAACUCCGUGCCAGCAGCCGCGGUAAUACGGAGGGUGCGAGCGUUAAUCGGAAUUACUGGGCGCAAAGCGCAUGCAGGUGGUUUGUUAAGUUCAGAUGUGAAAGCCCGGGGCUCAACCUCGGAAUAGCAUUUGAAAACUGGCAGACUAGAGUACUGUAGAGGGGGGUA
rnacentral:rRNA from 1 species